AGUGUCCGGAAAUCCCAAUCUCCUCCACCUCCCCACGCUUGCGCCUAAAACCCUAGUUCGCUUACCAAUGGCGCCGAAGAAGCGCAAGGCCGAUCCCACCGAGACCGCCGCCGUCGCGGAUCCCGCCGCAGCCAAUCACCGGCAGGAGCCCGCAUCCUCCGAGCCCAGGCCCCGCGGCACCAUCUACUUCCCCAUCACCGACGACCCGCCGGAGCCCACCGCCCUCGCCGAGGAGGACGAGGACGAGGGCGCCGGGGACGAUGAGGAGGAGGUGGAGGACAUCGGGAAGCUGCUCGAGCCGCUGUCGCGGGAGCAGCUCGUGGCGCUGCUCCGCACGGCCGCGGAGGGGAGCCCCGCCACGAUGGCGGCCGUGCGGCGCGUGGCGGAGUCCGACCCCGCGAGCAGGAAGCUGUUCGUCCACGGCCUCGGGUGGGGCGCCGGCGCCGACGAUCUCCGCUCCACGUUCUCACGCUUCGGCGAUCUCGAGGACUGCCGCGUCAUCUCCGACAAGCAGUCGGGGAGAUCAAAGGGCUACGGGUUUGUCCUUUUCCGCUCCCGCCGCUCAGCGCUCCGCGCCCUCCGCCGCCCCCAACUCCAAAUCGGAGGUCGUCUUGCUUUCUGCCACCUCGCUGCCUCUGGUCCUGCGCCCCCAGCAUCACAGUCCCAGAACCCAAGCUCCAACGCCAACACUAAUUCCAACUCCGCUGCCACCACCAACGCUUCUGGUUCCUCAUCUUCACAACCCGACAAUAUGCAACGCAAGAUAUUUGUUGGUAACGUGCACGCUGAUGUCGACGUUGACCGCCUCUAUGAGUAUUUCUCGCAAUUUGGUGAGAUUGAGGAGGGGCCAUUGGGCUUUGACAAGAACACCGGCAAACCUAAGGGAUUUGCAUUGUUUGUUUACAAGACUGCGGAGAGUGCCCGCCGUGCAUUGGAGGAGCCAGUUAGGAAUUUUGAUGGCAAGAUGCUCAAUGUGCAGAAAGCUAUAGAUGGGAGGACCAAGAGUGUAACCGGGACAAACGCAAAUGCUAAUUCUAAUACCACGGCUGCCUCUGUGGCGGCUGCCGCCGCACAGAUGACUGCUCCUGCCAGCGCUGCUAUUAGCCCGUAUGAUGCAUCAGCAUAUGGUUCUACUGUUGUUCCUGACUUGGGGUUUGCGCAGCAAGCUGCUAUGCUGGGGUUAGGUGCCCAACAGCAGGCAUUUGCGCAGCCCAAUGCAAUGCUUGCCAUGAUGGCAGCGGCAAUGCAGAACCCAGCCGCGCUGGGGAUGACACCAGCCAUGUUCGCAGCUAUGAACCCUGCCUUCGCUGCUGCUGCAUUGGGUGCUGGGGGACAGCAGGUACACACGGCUGGCCUUGCGGGUUUUGGAGCUCAAGGUUUUGGAACGCAGGCGUUUGGAUCAGGAGGUGCUGCUUUUCCGAAUGCAGCAGGUGUUCAAGGAGCUGCUGCUGCAUAUCAAGGAGGUCCUCCUGGUUUUCAAGGGCCGCCUGGGUUCCAGAGUUCUGGGUUUCAGGUUGGCCAAGCAACUACCCAGACAGGUACUGCAGUGGCGGCUGCCGGUGCUGCUGGUUAUCAGGCUGGCGCUGCUGGGCAGGGCCAAGUGCCAGGUGCUCAGAUAGGGGGCACUGGUUUUCAGGGUGGAUAUUGACAGAACUAGGUCUAAUGGUUUUCUGGGCACUUGAAGACAUUUCAAUUGCAGUUGCACUGGUGUUUCGAAGUAUGGGGUAUUCAUAGCUUUUGCCUUCCAUCUGGGAAGUUUCUACUUUGAGUGGAGCCUAAGGCACACACUUCAGGCGGUGAGUGCAAGGAGGCAACAACUGGUCAGCGGUGGCAGGGGAGUCCUAAGGUCCCUUCUGCAUUUGUGUAGUGUUUGGCUGGCUAGCCUGGGCCAGCCUAGGUCACAUUCUCUUUCUCAUUUUCUUUUACUUUGUUUUCUUAGGGUUAAGGACUGAAGGGCACCCUCUCUUUCAGCCUUUCAGCCCCCUCCGCAGAUACAUGUGUCUCUUCUCCUUUUCCUUCCCUCUCCUUCUUCCAUUCCCCUAGCUAGGCAAUGCCUAGGCGGUGAGUCGUCCGCCUUGCCAAAAUUGCACUUGUUGGCAUUCAUUAUUUGCAUCAGGACUUAAAGUUUUAGCAUUAACUUGGUAUUCACUUUUUUUGCAAUAUGGAUUAAGUUUGGUAUACACUAGUGCUGCAAGAAGUUUACAAUGCCCCUUUACAUCUACUUGUCACUGUCAUUUAUGCUUUGGUGCCCUCAAUCUUCAGUAUCUUGUCAACCAUUGCCGAACUAUUCGUCCCUCACAUCAUUAUAUUAUGUUGAUAUUGUUUUUCCCUUAUAAUUUUGUUUGCAUCAUUAACAAACAGGGUUUCUGUAAACCUCUCGAGCACAUGAUCUUUAUUCUUGAUACAGUAUGCUAUUUGAUUGAGCUUAAUUCAGAGUUGUGGCGGGACUUGUUACUUCAGGUUCUUGUGGUUGUUUAGGAAGUUUUUUCAGUUCAGCUCAGUCUAUCUCCAAGCUCAAAAUUAAUUGUAGGGGAUCUCGAUCAGUUCAGUUUUUCUGCGGAAAUGAUGACCGAAUCCAAUCAAUGUUGCCCUCGUGCCUGAGUGAUCUUUGGAAUCAACUUUUUCCCUGUUUACAAGCUGGUCAAUGUCCCGUGGCUGUGCAAAUAUGAUUGCACAAGCUACAUGCCUCUUGAUCACGAAUGCCCAGCCGAAUCAGUGUUAAAAAAUCACUGCAAGGUGAUUAGAUCUUGGAAAUGUUUCACCUGUCUGCAUUUUCAGCAAUAUUUUAGAAUCUGGUUCGAGUGGACAUAGUCACAUGAACACAUUAGAACGUCCGACCGUGUAUUGAACUAUUCGUGGUUGUGGGCUCGAUUCGCCCUAGUUCUUUUGGUUAUUGGCAUAUAGCGCUACAAAGAUUCGAGCGCAGGUAUAAUGCAUACAGGACGGUUGGUGGUUCAGACAAAUUGAAGAGGUAUGAACUCAGCUACCCUUGUUACAAAUGAUCCGGGCUUGAACGUCAUCGAUUGCUGUUGAUGCCGUUUAGCCCAACAGAAAAGGAAUCUCAUUCCCGAUGUCCCGUUGCCCCACUAAUUGGCCCAGCUUUCCUUUACACAAGCAUCCUGCAUGCAAGUAGUCUGAUGCUCGUACCGAAGCUAUCGUGCUAAUCUUCACUUUCGAAUUUCUUACCCAUGUCUGCCUUUUGGGUUUCAUUUUCCUUGCCUUUCUGAUUAGACUGUUUU